rnacentral:rRNA from 1 species
AGAGAACGCUGGCGGUAGGCCUAACACAUGCAAGUCGAACGGCAGCACAGGAGAGCUUGCUCUCUGGGUGGCGAGUGGCGGACGGGUGAGGAAUACAUCGGAAUCUACUUUUUCGUGGGGGAUAACGUAGGGAAACUUACGCUAAUACCGCAUACGACCUACGGGUGAAAGCAGGGGAUCUUCGGACCUUGCGCGAUUGAAUGAGCCGAUGUCGGAUUAGCUAGUUGGCGGGGUAAAGGCCCACCAAGGCGACGAUCCGUAGCUGGUCUGAGGAGAUGAUCAGCCACACUGGAACUGAGACACGGUCCAGACUCCUCCGGGAGGAAGCAGUGGGGAAUAUUGGACAAUGGGCGCAAGCCUGAUCCAGCCAUACCGCGUGGGUGAAGAAGGCCUUCGGGUUGUAAAGCCCUUUUGUUGGGAAAGAAAUCCAGCUGGUUAAUACCCGGUUGGGAUGACGGUACCCAAAGAAUAAGCACCGGCUAACUUCGUGCCAGCCGCCGCCGUAA